rnacentral:rRNA from 1 species
GCCUAACACAUGCAGUCGAGCGGCAGCACAAGUAAGUACUUAUGAGGUGGCGAGCGGCGGACGGGUGAGUAAUGCCUAGGGAUCUGCCCAGUCGAGGGGGAUAACAGUUGGAAACGACUGCUAAUACCGCAUAUCGUCCCUACGGGGGAAAGAGGGGGACCUUCGGGCCUCUCGCGAUUGGAUGAACCUAGGUGGGAUUAGCUAUGUUGGUGAAGGUAAUGGCUCACCAAGGCGACGAUCCCUAGCUUGUUCUGAGAGGAUGAUCAGCCACACUGGGACUGACGACACGGCCCAAGACUCCUACGGGAGGCAAGCAGUGGGGAAUAUUGCACAACUGGGGGAAACCCUGAUGCAGCCAUGCCGCGUGU